rnacentral:rRNA from 1 species
UACGUAGGGUGCGAGCGUUAAUCGGAAUUACUGGGCGUAAAGCGUGCGCAGGCGGCGCGUUAAGACAGGUGUGAAAGCCCCGGGCUCAACCUGGGAAUGGCCGUUGAAACUGGCGAACUGGAGUGUGGCAGAGGGGGGUGGAAUUCCGCGUGUAGCAGUGAAAUGCGUAGAGAUGCGGAGGAACACCGAUGGCGAAGGCAGCCCCCUGGGCUGACACUGACGCUCAGGCACGAAAGCGUGGGGAGCAAACAGG